GCGGAUGAAGACACAGUGACAGAAGAAAUUGAAAACUUCAGACUAUAUCGUCUGAACAGAUCUGAGGAAAGAAACAAGAGAUGCAGAAACAGUGCUUGACAACAGAAAUAGGAACGCUACCAAUGGUAAUGCUGAGGCAGCAAUUGUGUCGGAUUCGGACUCGGAUGGUCCUGCUACGAACGGUAAUGUCCCAAAAAACAACAUUGCCGUCCCACUAGCCGAGGAGGGCGGGGAGCUGCGCGUAGGUCGUGGUCGAGGCAGUAGAGGGAGCAGCAACUCUCCUGCGCGGGGGCGUGGCAGUCGAGGUGGCAGGGGGGCAAGAGGAGCCAACACUUCUGGGAACAUUAAAGAAGCCCUAGCUGUCCAAAGAACGUCUUCAAGAGCAAAGCCAAGCAAAGUGAUGUACAUCUCGGAUGAAAGUGAUUGAAACACCAUUGUGCUACGACCUUGAGAUCGCCUUUUCCAUAGUGUCUUCUUACAAUAAUACUUUUUUCCCACUAGAAUGUAUUAAUCUUUACAGUUUGAGUAUUUAAUUUAUUAUUCAAUAUAGCUAUUUCAUAGUGAAAAGUACAAAACCCAGUAUUAUUUUCAAGCUAUAAAUGAUUGAAAAUCUGUCA